GCCCUUCCUGACGAGUUGCUGAGCUAGAGGAAGACCAGCUACAGGCCGUAUUGGUGAUUCUCCUAUCAUGCUUGCCAAACCUCAAACUUUUAUGAAUACAAGUGGUGAAUCUGUUGAAUCGCUGGUUUCAUAUUACAAGUAAUUCUCACAUCCAGUUGUUGCCAGCUUUUUACAAAGCCUUCGUCUAUGCCUGUUGCUGUUGCUGAUUCCGACCGAGGCAAGGGAAUAGCGAACUAGAGUCGUCCUUUCCCUGGUCGUUUGCUAGAGGAGCGCCUAUCAGAGGUAGUUUUGGAUUUUAUAUACAUACUGUUAUGUAGUUGUGGUACUCGCUGGAGCGAGAUGGUUUUGUAGCCUUUUGUAUGUACUGUGAAUCCUUUUUGUUUUAUAUAUACAUG